rnacentral:rRNA from 1 species
UACGUAGGUGGCGAGCGUUGUCCGGAUUUAUUGGGCGUAAAGCGAACGCAGGCGGGAGAACAAGUCAGCUGUGAAAGCCCUCGGCUUAACCGGGGAAUGUCAACUGAAACUGUAUUUCUUGAGUGCAAAAGAGGAGAGUGGAACUCCAUGUGUAGCGGUGGAAUGCGUAGAUAUAUGGAAGAACACCAGUGGCGAAGGCGGCUCUCUGGUCUGUAACUGACGCUGAGGCUCGAAAGCAUGGGUAGCGAACAGG